GACGAACGCUGGCGGCGUGCUUAACACAUGCAAGUCGAACGGUAAGGCCCUUCGGGGUACACGAGUGGCGAACGGGUGAGUAACACGUGGGUGAUCUGCCCUGCACUUCGGGAUAAGCCUGGGAAACUGGGUCUAAUACCGGAUGGGACCACCGCUUGAAGGGGGGGUGGGGGAAAGCUUUUGCGGUGUGGGAUGGGCCCGCGGCCUAUCAGCUUGUUGGUGGGGUGAUGGCCUACCAAGGCGACGACGGGUAGCCGGCCUGAGAGGGUGACCGGCCACACUGGGACUGAGAUACGGCCCAGACUCCUACGGGAGGCAGCAGUGGGGAAUAUUGCACAAUGGGCGCAAGCCUGAUGCAGCGACGCCGCGUGAGGGAUGACGGCCUUCGGGUUGUAAACCUCUUUCAGCACCGACGAAGCGCAAGUGACGGUAGGUGCAGAAGAAGGACCGGCCAACUACGUGCCAGCAGCCGCAGUAA
rnacentral:rRNA from 1 species